rnacentral:rRNA from 1 species
AGAACGAACGCUGGCGGCAGGCUUAACACAUGCAAGUCGAACGCUCGUAGCAAUACGGGAGUGGCAGACGGGUGAGUAACGCGUGGGAACAUACCCUCCGGUUCGGAAUAGCUCAGGGAAACUUGGAUUAAUACCGGAUACGGCCGAGAGGCGAAAGAUUUAUCGCCGGAGGAUUGGCCCGCGUUCGAUUAGCUAGUUGGUGAGGUAACGGCUCACCAAGGCGAUGAUCGAUAGCUGGUCUGAGAGGAUGAUCAGCCACAUUGGGACUGAGACACGGCCCAAACUCCUACGGGAGGCAGCAGUGGGGAAUAUUGGACAAUGGGCGCAAGCCUGAUCCAGCCAUGCCGCGUGAGUGAUGACGGCCUUAGGGUUGUAAAGCUCUUUCGCUCGGGACGAUAAUGACGGUACCGAGAUAAGAACGCCCCGGCUAACUCGUGCCAGCAGCCGC